GACGAACUGUUCGAACGUUAUUCGGAAUCACUGGGCUUAAAGGGCGCGUAGGCGGUUUUUUAAGCGAGGUCUGAAAUCCCGGGGCUCAACCCCGGAACUGGGCUUCGAACUGAGGAACUAGAGUGAAGUAGGGGUAAGCGGAACUUGCGGUGGAGCGGUGAAAUGCUUUGAUAUCGCAAGGAACACCGGCGGCGAAGGCGGCUUACUGGGCUUCAACUGACGCUCAAGCGCGAAAGCUAGGGUAGCGAAC
rnacentral:rRNA from 1 species